AGAGUUUGAUCAUGGCUCAGAACGAACGCUGGCGGCGUGGAUAAGACAUGCAAGUCGAACGAGACUUUUCGUUGUAGCAAUACGAUGGAAAGUUUAGUGGCGAACGGGUGCUUAACACGUGGGCAACCUGCCAGGAAGUGGGGGAUAGCUCGCCGAAAGGCGAAUUAAUACCGCAUGUGAUUAGAGAGGACAUCCUUUCGAAAUUAAAGUCGGGGCAACCUGACGCUUCUUGUGGGGCCCGCGGCCUAUCAGCUAGUUGGUGAGGUAACGGCCCACCAAGGCUUUGACGGGUAGCUGGUCUGAGAGGACGACCAGCCACACUGGGACUGAGACACGGCCCAGACACCUACGGGUGGCAGCAGUCGAGAAUUUUUGACAAUGGGGGAAACCCUGAUCGAGCGACGCCGCGUGGAGGAUGAAGGUCUUCGGAUUGUAAACUCCUGUCAUUGGGGAACAAUGCACAGAUAUUAACUGUAUUUGUGUUGAUAGUACCCGAAGAGGAAGGGACGGCUAACUCUGUGCCAGCAGCCGCGGUAAUACAGAGGUCCCAAGCGUUGUUCGGAUUCAUUGGGCGUAAAGGGUGCGUAGGCGGCGCGGUAAGUCGGGUGUGAAAUCUCGGGGCUUAACUCCGAAACUGCAUUUGAUACUGCCGUGCUUGAGGACUGGAGAGGAGACUGGAAUUUACGGUGUAGCGGUGAAAUGCGUAGAUAUCGUAAGGAAGACCAGUGGCGAAGGCGGGUCUCUGGACAGUUCCUGACGCUGAGGCACGAAGGUCAGGGGAGCAAACGGGAUUAGAUACCCUAGUAGUCC
rnacentral:rRNA from 1 species